rnacentral:rRNA from 1 species
GACGAACGCUGGCGGCGUGCCUAAUACAUGCAAGUAGAACGCUGAAGAGAGGAGCUUGCUCUUCUUGGAUGAGUUGCGAACGGGUGAGUAACGCGUAGGUAACCUGCCUGGUAGCGGGGGGUAACUAUUGGAAACGAUAGCUAAUACCGCAUAAAAUUGAUUAUUGCAUGAUAAUUAAUUGAAAGAUGCAACUGCAUCACUACCAGAUGGACCUGCGUUGUAUUAGCUAGUUGGUGAGGUAACGGCUCACCAAGGCGACGAUACAUGGCCGACCUGAGAGGGUGAUCGGCCACACUGGGACUGAGACACGGCCCAGACUCCUACGGGAGGCAGCAGUAGGGAAUCUUCGGCAAUGGGGGGAACCCUGACCGAGCAACGCCGCGUGAGUGAAGAAGGUUUUCGGAUCGUAAAGCUCUGUUGUAAGAGAAGAACGGGUGUGAGAGUGGAAAGUUCACACUGUGACGGUAUCUUACCAGAAAGGGACGGCUAACUACGUG